rnacentral:rRNA from 1 species
GACGAACGCUGGCGGCGUGCUUAACACAUGCAAGUCGAACGGAAAGGCCCUGCUUUUGUGGGGUGCUCGAGUGGCGAACGUGUGAGUAACACGUGAGUAACCUUCCCUUGACUUUGUGAUAACUUCAGGAAACUGGGGCUAAUACCUGCUAGGAGCUCCUGCUGCAUGGUGGGGUUUGGAAAGUUUCGGCGGUUGGGGAUGGACUCGCGGCUUAUCAGCUUGUUGGUGGGGUAGUUGCUGACCAAGGCUUUGAAGGGUAGCCGGCCUGAGAGGGUGAACGGGCACAUGGGGACUGAGAGAGGGCCCAGAGGCCAACGGGAGGCAGCAGUGGGGAAUAUUGCACAAUGGGCGGAAGCCUGAGGAAGAAACGCCGCGAGCGGGAUGAAGGCCUUGGGGUUGUAAACCGCUUUAGCCUGUGACGAAGCGUGAGUGACGGUAAUGGGUAAAGAAGCACCGGCUAACUACGUG